UCCCUCUUAGCUCAGUUGGUACAGAACCUGCCUGCAAUGCAGGAGACCCAGGUUCGAUUCCUGGGUCAGGAA
rnacentral:tRNA from 1 species